GGCUUGGUGGUGUAGUAGGAACCACGCCUGCUUUGCAUUAGAGAUAAGACUCAGAUCCUUCAGCAGGAGUCCCUCGUUCGAUUCGAGGCCAGGCCA